rnacentral:tRNA from 1 species
GGGGAUUUAGCUCAGUGGUAGAGCGCUUGCCUAGCAAGCGCAAGGCCCUGGGUUCGCUCCCCAGCUCUG